CCAGACACCCGGAGGCUCAGCAUGAGUCAGCUGAAGGAUGUGGGUGCCAAGAAAACCUCAGGCAAGCCUGGACCCUGUGGAGGCUUCCAGAAAAAGAAAGGACCGGAGGGCCAUGCAAUCCCACAUGUGUCCAGCAGAGGUCAGAAGAUGUCACCAAAAGCUCUGAGUUCUCCAAUAAUCCAGGCAGAAACUGGAUGACUGGUUUACAUAUGGAUUGAAUUGAAGGAACUGAGAAUUAAAGAAAGGCCUACAGCCAGGUCAAACCCAUCCCAGUUGUCCAAACAGUACAUUCUGAAUAAAUAUUCUGGUGGUUAC